rnacentral:ncRNA from 1 species
UACUUGGUUGAUCCUGCCAGUAGUCAUAUGCUUGUCUCAAAUAUUAAUCCAUGUAUGU